CCUUAUUGCUAUCGGGACAGGACUAAGACAUGCUAGUUUAGCGUCUUCAAGCUAUGAUGGAGACGCAGCGCACAGCUCAGUAACACGUGGCCAACCUGCCCUUAGGACAAGUAUAACCCCGGGAAACUGGGGAUAAUCCUUGAUAGGUGAGGAAUUCUGGAAUGAGUCUUUGCUUAAAGGACGUGCAGAUCACGGUUUUGUGCGUUGCCUAAGGAUGGGGCCGCGGCCGAUCAGGUUGUUGGUGAGGUAACGGCUCACCAAGCCUAUAACCGGUACGGGCCGUGAGAGCGGAAGCCCGGAGAUGGGCACUGAGACAAGGGCCCAGGCCCUACGGGGCGCAGCAGUCGCGAAAACUCCGCAAUACGCGAAAGCGUGACGGGGCUAUCCCGAGUGCUAUUCGAUGAGAGUAGCCUUUCCUCAGUGUAAAGUGCUGGGGGAAUAAGGAGGGGGCAAGACUGGUGUCAGCCGCCGCGGUAAUACCAGCUCUCCGAGUGAUAGGGACGUUAUUGGGCCUAAAGCAUCCGUUGCUUGCUAAGUCUGUCCUCCGUUAAAUCCAACGAUUCAAUCGUUGGGCUGCGGGGGAUACUGCUUAGCUAGGAGGCGGGAGAGGCCGACGGUAUUUCCGGGGUAGGGGUGAAAUCCUAUAAUCCCGGGACGACCACCAGUGGCGAAGGCUGUCGGCUAGAACGCGCUCGACAGUGAGGGAUGAAAGCUGGGGGAGCAAACCGGAUUAGAUACCCGGGUAGUCCCAGCUGUAAACGAUGCAGGCUAGGUGUUGGUGUGGCUACGAGCCGCUCCAGUGCCGCAGGGAAGCCGUUAAGCCUGCCGCCUGGGAAGUACGGCCGCAAGGCUGAAACUUAAAGGAAUUGGCGGGGGAGCACCACAAGGGGUGAAGCUUGCGGUUUA
rnacentral:rRNA from 1 species